rnacentral:lncRNA from 1 species
GAUUCCCUUCUUCACCUUCGGCGAGACAGGGGACCCGUGAGCCCCCCGCCCCCCCUUCUUCUUCCCUCUCGGUCGGACCCAAGGCGGCCGCGGUGGCUGGCCUUGGCAGCGGCAGGAGGUGGCGGAGCAAGCCCGACCACCCCCGGCGACUGGCGGUGGCGAACACGCCGACGGCUAGGGCAGCCGUUUUGGACCCAAAUCCGGCGAUCGGCCGGCCCCAACCCCCAACACAUCAUGGCCAAGCAUCAAGCAAGGAGAAGGAGAAGUUUACCUUAGCCCCGACGAAGAUCCGGCGCCUCUAUUCUCCGGCGGCAAGGAAGAAGGAGACCACCCGGUGCGUGGCUCCUCUCUCUCUCUCUCUCUCCCUCUCUCCCUCUCUCUCGGUGGCCACACGAAGAAGACCCUCCCCCC